UACAGAGGGUGCAAGCGUUGUUCGGAAUUAUUGGGCGUAAAGGGAGUGUAGGCGGUUGCCUAAGUCUUCUGUGAAAUCUGCGGGCUCAGCCUGCAAAGUGCAGAGGAAACUGGGCGACUUGAGUGUCGGAGAGGAUAGGGGAAUACCCAGUGUAGAGGUGAAAUUCGUAGAGAUUGGGUGGAACACCAGUGGCGAAGGCGCCUGUCUGGCUGACAACUGACGCUGAGACUCGAAAGCAUGGGGAGCAAACAGG
rnacentral:rRNA from 1 species